rnacentral:rRNA from 1 species
GCGGCGUGGAUAAGACAUGCAAGUCNAACGCUGAUNACGGGGUAGCAAUAUUCCGUGGUCGGAGUGGCGCAAGGGUGCGUAACACGUGGGCAAUUUGCCGUGAAGUUGGGGAUAACUUGCUGAAAGGCGAGCUAAUACCGAAUGUGACUGCCGGGAGGCAUCUCCUGGUUUUCAAAGUUGGGGACCGCAAGGCCUGACGCUUCACGAUAAGCCCGCGGACUAUCAGCUAGUUGGUGAGGUAACGGCCCACCAAGGCUAAGACGGGUAGCUGGUCUGACAGGACGACCAGCCACACUGGAACUGAGACACGGUCCAGACACCUACGGGUGGCAGCAGUCGAGAAUUUUUCACAAUGGGCGAAAGNCUGAUGGAGCGACGCCGCGUGGGGGAUGAAUGGCUUCGGCCCGUAAACCCCUGUCAUUUGCGAACNAACCUCGCUAUUUAAAAGAUGGCGAGCUGAUGGUUU